rnacentral:lncRNA from 1 species
UCCUCCUGGAAAUGAACAUCAAAAUUUUGGUCCUCUUGAUUAUCAACAUGGAAAUUUUACUCUGUUUACUGGCUCUGAUAAGAAUAGAUGUGGUCAGGAGUGCUUGUGGAGUGCGAGACCCGGAGGGAUCUACCUAUAUAUCCCCGCUCAUCUUGAUUAUGAAUAUCAAUAUCCCUGGAUAUUUCGAUUGUAAUCUUGAUGCCGAGUAAAUUUACAGCUAAAGUUUUUAUUACUCUCAACUCCCG